GACGAACGCUGGCGGCGUGCUUAACACAUGCAAGUCGAGCGGAAAGGCCCUUCGGGGUCCUCGAGCGACGAACGGGUGAGUAACACGUGAGUAACCUGCCCCAGACUUUGGGAUAACCCUCGGAAACGGGGGCUAAUACCGGAUACGACACAGCUUCGCAUGGGGUCUGUGUGGAAAGUUUUUCGGUUUGGGAUGGGCUCGCGGCCUAUCAGCUUGUUGGUGGGGUGAUGGCCUACCAAGGCGACGACGGGUAGCCGGCCUGAGAGGGCGACCGGCCACACUGGGACUGAGACACGGCCCAGACUCCUACGGGAGGCAGCAGUGGGGAAUAUUGCACAAUGGGCGGAAGCCUGAUGCAGCGACGCCGCGUGAGGGAUGACGGCCUUCGGGUUGUAAACCUCUUUCAGCAGGGACGAAGCGUAAGUGACGGUACCUGCAGAAGAAGCGCCGGCCAACUACGUG
rnacentral:rRNA from 1 species